rnacentral:rRNA from 1 species
GUGUCAGCAGCCGCGGUAAUACGGAGGAUCCAAGCGUUAUCCGGAUUCACUGGGUUUAAAGGGUGCGUAGGCGGAAUGACAAGUCAGUGGUGAAAACCUAUAGCUCAACUAUAGAACUGCCAUUGAUACUUUUAUUCUUGAGUGUAUUGGAUGUGAAUGGAAUGUGUCAUGUAGCGGUGAAAUGCUUAGAUAUGACACAGAACACCCAUUGCGAAGGCAGUUCACAACACUACAACUGACGCUGAGGCACGAAAGCGUGGGGAUCAAACAGGAUUAGAUACCCCGGUAGUCC